rnacentral:rRNA from 1 species
UACGUAGGCAGCGAGCGUUGUUCGGAGUUACUGGGCGUAAAGCGUGCGUAGGCGGUUGUCUAAGUCUGGUGUGAAAUCUCCCGGCUCAACUGGGAGGGUGCGCCGGAAACUGGAUGACUGGAGUGCCGGAGAGGUAAGCGGAAUUCCUGGUGUAGCGGUGAAAUGCGUAGAUAUCUGGAGGAACACCGGUGGCGAAGGCGGCAUCCUGGACCGGCAUUGACGCUGAGGCGCGAAAGCUAGGGGAGCAAACAGG